AUCAGUGACCUGAUUUGCCUCUCAUGCACCUGGGAUUUAUUCUGGAUGCCAGGUGACUCAGCAGCUUUUCUGAGAUGUCACAGAGCAGGAGGAAUGUCCUUCUGCUUUAGCAGUUUUGUAAAUCCAUGGAGUCUGACUUUCACCCAGCCACGGGAGCUCUGCAGCCCCCAGUGCAGCCCCAGCUGCAUAAAUCAUGUGAUGGGCCUCUGAUCACCAACAAAACCAGAGAUGCUGGGCAGAAAUGUCCAUCCAACAGAUUCCACCUGCAAUCGAUGAAAAAUGGUCACCGUGAAAGACAAGAUGCAGAUUUUGUCCCUUUUCAUCAGUUCCUGAGAGGAUAAUUUUUAGAGAAGCAGCUACUCCUAAUUUCGGGAGUUCAAGCACAGGAGUGUCUGUACAUGUAAUUACAUUUCCUUUACCAAGCUGA